rnacentral:rRNA from 1 species
CCUACGGGAGGCAGCAGUGAGGAAUAUUGGUCAAUGGACGAGAGUCUGAACCAGCCAAGUAGCGUGAAGGAUGACUGCCCUAUGGGUUGUAAACUUCUUUUAUAUGGGAAUAAAACGUUCCACGUGUGGGAUUUUGUAUGUACCAUAUGAAUAAGGAUCGGCGAACUCCGUGCCAGCAGCCGCGGUAAUACGGAGGAUCCGAGCGUUGUCCGGAUUUAUUGGGUUUAACGGGAGCGUAGGUGGAUUGUUAAGUCAGUUGUGAAAGUUUGCGGCUCAACCGUAAAAGUGCAGUUGAAACUGGCAGUCUUGAGUACAGGAGAGGUGGGCGGAAUUCGUGGUGUAGCGGUGAAAUGCUUAGAUAUCACGAAGAACUCCGAUUGCGAAGGCAGUUCACUGGACUGCAACUGACACUGAGGCUCGAAAGUGUGGGUAUCAAACAGGAUUAGAUACCCUAGUAGUC